ACUGUAGGCUGCAACUCGCCUACACGAAGUUGGAAUUGCUAGUAAUCGUGGAUCAGCAUGCCACGGUGAAUACGUUCCCGGGCCUCGUACACACCGCCCGUCACACCAUGAGAGUCGGGAACACCCGAAGUCCGUAGUCUAACCGCAAGGGGGGCGCGGCCGAAGGUGGGUCCGGUAAUUGGGGUGAAGUCGUAACAAGGUACC
rnacentral:rRNA from 1 species